rnacentral:sRNA from 1 species
AUAUUGUAAUAAGACGCAGUUAGGCAUUGCGAAAUCUGUGUGAAGUCAUGUGACUUAGAUAUCAUUCCACUCUUCAUUUGUUUCGGUGUCUGCAGGAUUUAUUCAUAUUGAUAAGAAUUCUAGACAACAGGAAAAAAAUAAACACAACACGAAAUUAAAAUCCAGUCCAAGAUAUAACAUUAGAUUUGGAAAGACUUCCUAUAAAUGGAAGGUUAGGACAUCAAUUUUUUUACAAAGUAUAAAGGUAUGUCCUAGUUUGCCAAACUUAAGGCCAGUUGGACCGGCCCCACCAAACUUCUAACCCAGAGCAGAGAAUCGGCAUAUUAUAGUAAAACUAAUAUAACAAGGAUUUGAUCAGUGCUUGAAGCGCAUGUUGGAAAUGUUAUGGUCAUCUGGCCGAACGAAAGUUGGGCAUCACUUUUUUUUAAUUCUGUAAUUGUUGUUGACCUUGUUGCCCACUACAAGACAGUGGACAAUGCAUUAUUGGAGUGUAGACGUCCAAACAGUUUACACCGCUCUAUGGACAUCGUUAGAUAUCUAACAAAAUCAAUUACACCGCUCUAUGGACAUCGUUAGAUAUCUAACAAAAUCAAUUACACCGCUCUAUGGACAUCGUUAGAUAUCUAACAAAAUCAAUUACACCGCUCUAUGGACAUCGUUAGAUAUCUAACAAAAUCAAGUAGACAGCUACUCAAAGUUUAUCAGGAAAAAAAAUUGUUUAAAUAGCCACAACAAUAAAAUAAUGUCAUGAAAGUUUUGACAACAAAUUAU